AUGGGGGAAACCCUGAUGCAGCAACGACCGCGUGAGGUAUGAAGGCCUUUGGGUGUGUGAAGCCUCUGUCCUAGGGGAAGAAAAAAAUGACGGUACCCGAGGAGGAAGCCCCGGCUAACUACGUGCCAGCAGCCGCGGUAAUACGUAGGGGGCAAGCGUUAUCCGGAAUUAUUGGGCGUAAAGAGUGCGUAGGUGGUCUACUAAGCGCGAGGUGAAAGGCAAUGGCUCAACCAUUGUUAGCCUUGCGAACUGGCAGACUUGAGUGCAAGAGAGGAAAGCGGAAUUCCUAGUGUAGCGGUGAAAUGCGCAGAUAUUAGGAGGAACACCGGCGGCGAAGGCGGCUUUCUGGAUUGUAACUGACACUGAGGCACGAAAGCGUGGGUAGCAAACAGGAUUAGAUACCCUGGUAGUCCACGCCGUAAACGAUGAGCACUAGGUGUCGGGACAUGAGUCUCGGUGCCGCAGUUAACGCAAUAAGUGCUCGCCUGGGGAGUACGCACGCCAGUGUAAACUCAAGGGAUGACGGGACCGCACAAGCAGC
rnacentral:rRNA from 1 species